rnacentral:rRNA from 1 species
GAUGAACGCUGGCGGCGUGCCUAAUACAUGCAAGUCGAGCGAACAGAUAAGGAGCUUGCGCCUUUGACGUUAGCGGCGGACGGGUGAGUAACACGUGGGUAACCUACCUAUAAGACGGGUAUAACUUCGGGAAACCGGAGCUAAUACCGGAUAACAUUUUGAACCGCAGGGUUCUAAAGUGAAAGAUGGUUUUGCUAUCACUUAUAGAUGGACCCGCGCCGUAUUAGCUAGUUGGUAAGGUAACGGCUUACCAAGGCGACGAUACGUAGCCGACCUGAGAGGGUGGUCGGCCACCUUGGAACUGGGCCACGGUCCAGGCUCCUACGGGAGGCAGCAGUAGGGAAUCUUCCGCAAUGGGCGAAAGCCUGACGGAGCGACGCCGCGUGAGUGAUGACGGGUUUCGGCUCGUAAAACUCUGUUAUUAGGGAAGAACAAACUUGUAAGUAACUGUGCACGUCUUGACGGUACCUAAUCAGAAAGCCACGGCUAACUACGUG